GAUGAACGCUGGCGGCGUGCCUAAUACAUGCAAGUCGAGCGAACAGACGAGGAGCUUGCUCCUCUGACGUUAGCGGCGGACGGGUGGGUAACACGUGGAUAACCUACCUAUAAGACUGGGAUAACUUCGGGAAACCGGAGCUAAUACCGGAUAAUAUAUUGAACCGCAUGGUUCAAUAGUGAAAGACGGUUUUGCUGUCACUUAUAGAUGGAUCCGCGCCGCAUUAGCUAGUUGGUAAGGUAACGGCUUACCAAGGCAACGAUGCGUAGCCGACCUGAGAGGGUGAUCGGCCACACUGGAACUGAGACACGGUCCAGACUCCUACGGGAGGCAGCAGUAGGGAAUCUUCCGCAAUGGGCGAAAGCCUGACGGAGCAACGCCGCGUGAGUGAUGAAGGUCUUCGGAUCGUAAAACUCUGUUAUUAGGGAAGAACAAAUGUGUAAGUAACUAUGCACGUCUUGACGGUACCUAAGCAGAAAGCCACGGCUAACUACGU
rnacentral:rRNA from 1 species